rnacentral:rRNA from 1 species
AGUGAACGCUGGCGGUAGGCCUAACACAUGCAAGUCGAACGGCAGCACAGUAAGAGCUUGCUCUUACGGGUGGCGAGUGGCGGACGGGUGAGGAAUACAUCGGAAUCUACUUUUUCGUGGGGGAUAACGUAGGGAAACUUACGCUAAUACCGCAUACGACCUACGGGUGAAAGCAGGGGAUCUUCGGACCUUGCGCGAUUGAAUGAGCCGAUGUCGGAUUAGCUAGUUGGCGGGGUAAAGGCCCACCAAGGCGACGAUCCGUAGCUGGUCUGAGAGGAUGAUCAGCCACACUGGAACUAAGACACGGUCCAGACUCCUACGGGAGGCAGCAGUGGGGAAUAUUGGACAAUGGGCGCAAGCCUGAUCCAGCCAUACCGCGUGCGUGAAGAAGGCCUUCGGGUUGUAAAGCCCUUUUGUUGGGAAAGAAAAGCAGCAGGUUAAUACCCCGCUGUUCUGACGGUACCCAAAGAAUAAGCACCGGCUAGCUUCGUG